UACGGGGGGUGCGAGCGUUGUCCGGAAUCACUGGGCGUAAAGGGCGCGUAGGUGGUUUGAUAAGGGUGUGGUGAAAGUCCGGAGCUCAACUCCGGAUCUGCCGUGCCGACUGUCAAACCCGAGGGCUGUAGAGGCAGACGGAAUUCCGGGUGUAGCGGUGGAAUGCGUAGAGAUCCGGAGGAAGACCGGUGGCGAAGGCAACUUCCUGGGGCAAUACUGACACUGAUGUGCGAAAGCGUGGGGAGCAAACAGG
rnacentral:rRNA from 1 species